ACGGGAGGCAGCAGUGAGGAAUAUUGGUCAAUGGGCGAGAGCCUGAACCAGCCAAGUAGCGUGCAGGAUGACGGCCCUAUGGGUUGUAAACUGCUUUUGUCAGGGAAUAAAGUGCGGGACGCGUCCCGCUUUGCAUGUACCUGAAGAAUAAGGACCGGCUAAUUCCGUGCCAGCAGCCGCGGUAAUACGGAAGGUCCGGGCGUUAUCCGGAUUUAUUGGGUUUAAAGGGAGCGCAGGCGGCCUUUUAAGCAUGCUGUGAAAUGUAGGGGCUCAACCUCUGCACUGCAGCGUGAACUGGGAGGCUUGAGUACGCGGGAAGUAGGCGGAAUUCGUCGUGUAGCGGUGAAAUGCUUAGAUAUGACGAAGAACUCCGAUUGCGAAGGCAGCUUACUGUAGCGCCACUGACGCUAAAGCUCGAAAGUGCGGGUAUCGAACAGGAUUAGAUACCCUGGUA
rnacentral:rRNA from 1 species